GCAUCCGUAGCUCAGCUGGAUAGAGUACUCGGCUACGAACCGAGCGGUCGGAGGUUCGAAUCCUCCCGGAUGCN
rnacentral:tRNA from 1 species